rnacentral:rRNA from 1 species
UACGGGGGGAGCAAGCGUUGUUCGGAUUUACUGGGCGUAAAGGGCGCGUAGGCGGUCAGCACAAGUCAGUUGUGAAAUCUCCGGGCUUAACUCGGAAAGGUCAACUGAUACUGUGCGACUAGAGUGCGGAAGGGGCAACUGGAAUUCUCGGUGUAGCGGUGAAAUGCGUAGAGAUCGGGAAGAACAUCGGUGGCGAAAGCGCUCUACUGGACCGCAACUGACACCCAGGGACGAAAGCUAGGGGAGCGAAUGGG